GGAAGUAAAAGUUCGUAACAAGGUUUCCGUAGGUGAACCUGCGGAAGGAUCAUUAAUGUGUUUGGGCCUCACGGCUCUUCAUUCCGACGCUGUGCGCCUUCGGGCUGCACGCUGAGGGAGCAUAUAUCCACCCCUGUGCACACACACGGUGGCGAGCUGGGUAACGGCUCGCCGCUGAUCUUUACACACGUCUAAAGUUAUUGUAUGUUUAUUUGAGAUAAAAACACAACUUUCAGCAACGGAUCUCUUGGCUCUC
rnacentral:misc_RNA from 1 species